GUUUUUCAAAAGGAGAACCACUGCACCCAGACCCAGUAGCCAGGUUGUGAUUCCGCUUCUAUUCUUCGGACUUCAGUGCUGCGGUUUCCCUUGUGUGAUACUAUUCAGAGAUCUGCUCCCCUCCCCCUAACACGCACAUAACACACACACACACACACACACACACACACACACACUGCCAGGAAUUGUUUUGGGUUCCUGAAGGGGGACAGAGUGAUAUGCUCACAGGUAAAUACAUCUCAAAAUGCUAAUGUGCAUUUGAAUAUCCAUUUGUUUAUCUAUUUUAAAAACAGGGGGAAGUCAAGGUAAACCAGGCAAAAUGUAUAAAUUUGAAAAGAUAUUCAGAUAUCCAUGGAAAAGAAUUGCUCAGAAGAACAAAGGAUAGUAUAACAUUAAAUGAGUCACGGUGUUCUCCCAGAGAGUAAAACUGUAUUCUCGUCAGUUAUUGUUUAAUUCUUCGAACAUUUGACAUAAGGGUCUAUUGAUUACUGGGGCGGGGAGAGCUGGUCCCGGGCUCACGGGUUGUGGGAGCUCCUGUGUGGGCCUAGGUAUAUUUUUGUUACACUUUAUCCCACCUGUGCCUGUCAGUUCCUUUCCACUUGCCUCCUCCCGUGACAGUCUGGCUCAUGUUUCUUCAUAAAGCUCUAAGCCAGUUAUUAAUAACAGCCCAGCGAGUCUCCGGAUCCACCUAAGAGCAUGUGGUGUUUUUCACAAAAGAGAAGAGAGAUCAUCUCCUUGACUUGGGACUUUGCUUGCGGAGCCCUGAACAGAGGACCUGCUCCGUCCUUGGGAGCUCAGCUGAAACCAGACGAUCCAGUCGUUCUCCAGGACCAGCGUAGCUUCCUGCUAAGGGUACGUAUGCUCAGUGCUCUCCAACACGUGCACCAGGCUUCUAAACAACAUGCGGAAGGGAGGCAUGACAGCCAACUGGAAGCGGGCAGACGCUGGCCUGGUGUGGAGCGCUGGCUUGGAGACUAACGCACUGUGUGAGUUUAAGCAAGUACUCAAUCUCUCUGAGCCUCAGUUUCCUCAUUUGUAAAAUGAGAGUCAUAAUGACAUCUUUUAUAGGGGAGUGGGGUUUACUCAUAAUGUAAGUGGCCAAGCAUACUAACAUUAUUUAUGAAAUCCCUCAUUUGAAUUUCUCCUGAAUCUUCUUAACCAUCUCUUGUUUGUUUCAGAGUCAAAUCUAGAGCCCCCAAUGUGGUCUUUGACAGAAAAUAUUAAUCUAAAUGGUAGAGACACUGGAGGGAGGUGGGUGGGGGAUGGGCUCAAUGGCUGAUGGGCGUUAAGGAGGGCACGUGUUCCAAUGAGCACGGGUGUUAAAUGUUAGUGAUGAAUCACUAAAUUGUACUCCUGAAACCAAAGCUACGCUAUAUGUUAACUAAUUAGAAUUUAAAUAAAAUCUUGGAAGAAAAAAAAGAAAGAAGGAAA
rnacentral:lncRNA from 1 species